UUAACAGUCUUGGUGGGCACUGGCACAUAGACUUUUCUAGGGUUUCGAUUUGGUAUUCUGAGAUUCGAAGCUGCCGCAAUGGAGUAUCGAGAUGUAUGGCGGCUACUUGGAGGCCAUCGGCCGGCGUCGCCGCUUUGCCAUUCUCGCCGCCGGUGACUAAAACAACCUCUGCCGCUGCAAAACCCUAGACGAGAUCGCCAUGCAACUCUCUGCUUCGCUGCCGAUUACGGCCUCUAUGAACUUUGUGGAGCAACUGCAGAAAUGGUGUGCGACCUCCUUGCAUUUGAAGCUGAAUCAGUGAUAGGGGAGCUGUCAAUAUUACCAUAAUCAACCAUAAACAGAUGAUGCAUAUAAAUAAAAAUCAGAUAUUAUUUUGACAUGAUGCUAUGCGUUGUUUAUUUCCGUUGUUGCACUUCUUCUUUUGCUUCAGCCACGUUUUGGUCUGGUAAUGAUUUAUUUCGAUAAGGUGACAUUUGUUUCUGCAAUUACAUGGCUUUCUUUUGCAGUUUGGAACUGAGCUAACUCAAGAUGAUUGCUGGAAACUUUGUUCUAACUUUGGUUCACUGCAAGAAUUGUCAUUGAACUUUCAAUUUAUGAGCUAGUUCUUUAUACAAUAGAUUGGGUUUUGAAACUUCUUAUUGAUGAUGUACUGGCACUCUGUGGGUAUAGGGUCAUGAAGGACUUACUAUUCGUGAGGGCAUUGAUCAGAUGACUGCAGGUCCAUUCUACAAGAGAAAAAUACCCCUACUUGCCAGUUGAUUUGGGAGGUUAAUUGUAUUGCAUGAUUGUUAUGCAUAUAUAUGAUUGAUUCUUUUGAAAUUGAAGAAGCAGGAAAUAAGGAACCUAAUGUGGUGUAUCUUGUAAAUUUUCUGCCAAAAAUUAGAAAUCCCUGAGUUCACUUUAGUGUCAUCUUCAUUGUUUAAUGCAUAAACUCUAUCGACAUUGUCCUGAUACUGUUGCAGCCAAAAUGAUCUGCAGAUAAAAAGCUUUAAGGUUUUCCCAUGAAAUGUAAAGCUAGGUUUGAAUGAGUUGUAUAUUGUUUUUCUGGUUGAGCUUUGUUGCUGCAUGUUAUGUGGAUUUAUAUACUAUUUUCUUUUGAUUUUAGUUAGCACAACAGGGUUAUUGUUAGAAAUGG